rnacentral:rRNA from 1 species
GACGGAGGAUGCAAGCGUUAUCCGGAAUGAUUGGGCGUAAAGCGUCCGCAGGUGGCAGUUCAAGUCUGCUGUCAAAGACCGGGGCUUAACUUCGGAAAGGCAGUGGAAACUGAACAGCUAGAGUAUGGUAGGGGCAGAGGGAAUUCCUGGUGUAGCGGUGAAAUGCGUAGAGAUCAGGAAGAACAUCGGUGGCGAAGGCGGCUACCUGGACCAACACUGACACUGAGGCACGAAAGCGUGGGGAGCAAACAGG